rnacentral:lncRNA from 1 species
CGGACGAUGUGAAUCUUGAUGUUUGCCCGUGUGCGUGUGUCUCCUGGGUGUAGUGGAUGCCAGUCUUGUUGCUGUGACAAGUAACAAACCUUUUUUUUAAUUCUGUUUUUUAUAUGAAAACUCACAACAAUCUGACAUUUUGGUGCUAAGGGUUUCCUGGUGCCGACGGUGGAUCUGGGGGCUGGGCUGGGGUCCCUCUCCUGCUCAGGGAGGCGGUGCUGACUGGGCACCCCUCUGCCCCCCAGCUCCUGUCCUCCUCCAGUCCCUGGAGAGGAGGGGCUCCAAUCUGGGCUCAGCUCUCCUCACCCCGCACUAGGGAGACAGUUUCCAGGAGGGCUUUGGGGCCGAGGCACCAUGCUGCCCGUCUCCGGCUUCUUCCUUCAGCCAGAGUGCUCUGACCCCGGGCAGUCCUGGCCUGAUGUGCUAGGGAGGGGGUGUGGAGACAUGGACUCCCCCCCACUCACACGCACCUGAUCUGAUCAGGGGGUAGAGGCCUGGGCAGGUGCAGGUAAUCCAGCGUCAAAGGCUGAGGCAAGCAGCAUGACUUCGGGGCAGGGGGGCUUUCUUUCCUGUGUUCCUGGGUGUCACUGGGGUACAGCUGGUGGAGGUGGAGGUGGGUCGGGCAGCCACUGCAGGGGCAGCUGCCGGGGGGGAGGGUGGGGAGCAGGCACUGAUGGGAGCCCCACGCGCACUUUGUCCUUGUCACCAAUGGUUGGAGGAGGUUGGACCUCAACACCUCUGCUGGGGAUAGCUGCCUGCCCCGGCCUCUCAGGUGGGCGUGGGGACUGCGGCCAAAAGUGGCGCUGGGUUGGACCCCUCUCUCUCCCCUCUUCCCUCCCGGCUUCCAUGCUCUGGCUGGUGGGUGGCAGCAGCAAGCCGGUCCUCAGAGCCCUCCUCCUACGGUGGCAGAGCCCUGGGUGCCUCAGCAAGAUCUGCCCACUUCCCACUCUGGUGGGAGUGCAGCCAGGUAGCCUUGACUGACACCUUCAAUGAGAGGGGCUGAGCGGCAGACGCCCCCCUCAUGCAGUGGGUGUGGACCCUGCCUGAGACCCCAAACCCAGGGCACAGUGUCAGGUCCCUUUCUGAAGAUCUACCUCUGGCCCAGCCCACCCCCCUUGCCCUGAGAACAGGAAAGGGUCGACUCAAGGGACCGACACGUCACGCGAAAAUAGGAUGCACUUUUCUGCUCACGCAAGGACAGAUGAGUGUCCCCUGGUGUGACUGGUGGCCCUCCCAGUCGUAGGCCCCUCCUGUCCCUCUGGUUUGGAAGGGAAAGAGUGGGUGCACCCUGACCUGUAGAGGGGAGGGCUGUCCCGGUGUGUCCCCCUGGGUGGGCCCCAGGCGGCUGUCCUGGAGGCCUGGGGUUUCGGGGGCAGCCAGCACCUCCCGCCUGGCAGCCACACAUCCUGUACUUGGGGUUUCUCGGUUUGGGUGUUUUUGAUGCCAGUUCUCCGUAAUAAGUGCAUUUCGAAAGAGAGGUUCCGGCUAUCAACUUGUAACCAUAUAUAUACGUAUAUAUUCUAUCUACAAAGUGUUUAUUUGCAAGAUGUUUUGACGGUGAGCUCGGGCCCCGCCCGCCUUGUGACCAUCUGUCCCCGGUCCUCGUCCCCGCCCCCCGGCCCCAAGUGGCACGGGGGCGGGCCAUCAACUGUAUGUAUUAAAAAUGACUGUAUCAAAUAAAUGUUUAUUGAUUUUUUUCCAGGGGUUUUGUGCAGCUGAGUUUGUGGUAAAGCGCGGGUGGGGGGCCUUCCCCGCACUCGCGCCGCGCGGCCUCGUGGGGCUUCUGGUUUGCGGGGCGCGCGCGUCCUGGUGGGACUUGUAGUCAGCGGGGCGCGCGCAGCCUGAUGGGAGUUGUAGUCCGGGGGCGCGCUGGCGGGCGCCUGGGGCCGGGCCCCGAACCACAGCUUCCGACAGCCUGCGCGGCCGGCCCCCGAGCCCCGCCCAGCCC